UGGGGAUAUAGCUCAGUUGGUAGAGUGCUUGCCUUGCAUGCACAAGACCCUGGGUUCUAUCCCUAGCACCUAA
rnacentral:tRNA from 1 species